GCUUUCCUAGAGAGAUGACGGCUCAUAUUCUUCUAAUUUCAACGUAAAUUUCACUGAAGUCCCUAACUUAGUGCAUUUACCUAAGUAGCAUUAAUGAAUUUAGGCUGGAUGAUUGCUUGGAGUAUCAGCUGUGCUUGAACUUCUGUAUGUCAUUCAGAGGAAUUUACUCCUAAGAUUUCUUUUCCCUCCACCUGACAUUGUGCAGUAUACCACAGAGCAGCUGUCCACAGCCAGAAACUCAUCACUCUCUCUCUGAUCAGCACAUACAGGAAGGGAGAGAAGACAUCUGAGGUGGAAACAGAGACAGCUGAUAAUCUUUUGACUUCAGAUAAUAUCGAAUACAAGAGACGAUCCCCCUGUACCGCCCUAGAGUCUAACAGAUUUUGAUAGCAAGAGGAGGUCAUUUGCAGACAGAGUUGAUUCCGGGUGAGCCAGUGACUCCAUGGUAACUCGGAGAAAUGCAUCUGCAGAGAAACGAGCUGGUGUUGCCUCCUCACGGGCAGAAAGGGGAGCAAAUGAAAGGUGCGUGGAUCAAACCGGUGCGCGUCGGGCUCCGUAUCCCGUCUCUCGACGCAAGCAGCUCUGCAGCCUCAAAGGAAGAUACCAGAAGC